CUCAAGGAAGCGCUUUGUUCACAUGGACAGAAAACGCGUCCUUGAGGGCGCGCUUUGUGUCCACGUGGAAUAGGUGCUUCCUGGAGG
rfam:Gossypium raimondii chromosome 6, whole genome shotgun sequence.